rnacentral:lncRNA from 1 species
GAAAAUUUAAAUUGGGCUCCAGAGAAGAGACAUUGAGACUGAUACUUCCAGCACUGAGGAUCUACCUCUAGGUUGAAGUCUAGCUCAGAACUUGGCCUCCGGCCUGGGCACUGCCUCAUACCUGCCAGAAUUGAUCUCAAUGGAGCUGCACAAUGAGAGGUUUUGCAUGUUGUCUAGAGGACUUUGGUUGAGUUCAGAGCUGAGCACACUUGCCUUCAGACUCUCCUGGGACUCCCAGUUCUCAUCCAUAUGAGCAAGGGCUUCAUGUUACUGGCCGUGGCCCUGUGCUGAGUCCUCCUCCCGCCCAUGGCCCUCUCCUCCUGGCCAGUGGUCCUCCGCCUGAACAUGGCCGACUUUGUCUUCAGUUUCCUCUGCCUCGGCAUUGGGCUCCUGAUUUCUCUUCAGCCUGACGCUCUUUUCAGUUAACGGCAAGGCGGUGCACCCAAGUCCGGUGGUGUCCUACCUGGUGACCUCCUACCUGUGCUGGGACGCCAGCGACUUGAUGCUGCACUCCGGAGCCGUGUCCUACCUAAGCCCAGUGGGCAUGUGAAGCAGAGGGCAGCCCUUGAAUGCGCGGCGGCUGAGCUACCGCGGGUGGGCCGUGCAGCAGGGCGCAGCGAGGCGGACAUCCAAACAGCGGAACUCAGACGCUGACUCCGAGCGCACCCCGGGCCUUCCCAUUUCAUACACCCUCGAGGAUGAGACCCAAGCACCUCCAAGGAAUAGCACCCGAGGUCUUCAGGACACCGACCGGUAGCCAUGGCCAGAUGCCCGGCCAACCCCUUCAGCGUGGCCACGCCCUGGAUAUUCGACCUCCCCUGAGGCCCCACCCCCUGAUAUCAGGCCACGCCCUCCGAGGGGACCGGUGGCAAACUCCAGCCCUCGCUCUAGGGCCCGCCCUUUGCGGCUUUGUCCCUGCCCACUGGGUCCUCACAGUACCUCCACCCCAGAGGCCCAGCAUCCCCUCCCGUUCUGCAGACACUUGUCCAGCGUCCCGCUGAGCUCGGCAGUGUGGCUAGUUUGUGUGGCCCUGCCCCUGGUGCCCAGCCAGGGUGGUCUGCAUGGAACUUCUUUCCCGGAGUUCCGGCCUCAGCUCCGAUGUCCACCCUUGUCCCCAGGUGGACACAGCACCGCCCAGCAUUUGGUGCAACUCCACCCUUCUGCAGAACGGGCCCCUCCCUGGGAAGGCAUGGCUUGCAAUAACAUCCCUCUGUACCUUUUCUGGCUUCCCCGCCACAAUAAAACCUCUCAGCCUCAGACCUUCCAUUGCCCCCCACCUCCCCACCAGGGCAGGGUCCAUCCUAGUGUGAGUGAACUGUUCUGGCGUCCCUGACUUGCCCUUUGGGA